rnacentral:lncRNA from 1 species
CUCCAGUUUAACAGCUUUCUACUUAUGUUUCUGUCAGAACUGUGCGCAUUUGUGGUUCUUCCUGGAGCCAACCUGAGUAAAACACUGCAGCUACAAGCCAAAGACAACUUCAUAGACAUCGACCUCAUGGGGAUUGCAGAGAAAAACAGCGGUGAAGCAGCAGUGGUCUUCGUGACCUACAGCAACAUGGAGAGAGCACUGGGUCCUAACCUCUUCUCCACGGAGGGCGACACCGUCAAGACCAUGAUGUCCAGUGUGGUCUCCGCCUCCCUGCCCAUGACCCCUAACGCGGAGCUGACGGCACCGGUCAACUUCACACUGAAACAUACCUCUGUGUUUGUCAACAACAGUGAGCUCACCUGUGUGUACUGGAACAGAAGCGCAUGGGUCAUAGAUGGAUGUAGUGUGUCUGAGAGCAAUGCUACCCACACCGUGUGUACCUGCAGCCACCUGUCCACCUUCGCCCUCAUCAUGCAGACAGAACGACCCCGUGAAGUGAGAAAAUGCUGAAGGCAGCCUGCGGGAGCAAAUGAUGGGAAUCAUCAGAAUUCUUCUGAAAAACUGUCCCAUUAUUUGUCAUCCUGUUUUCUCCUUGCUCCAUUUACAGGACAACAGCUUCAUUAAGCUGCUGGGCACUGUUGGCAUCUCUGUGGGCCUUGUGUUUUUGGCCUUGACUCUGCUGACCUUUAUCUGCUGCCACUGGAACCCUAAAGUGAACAACACUGCACGCCUCAACCUGUGCCUCUGCCUCUUCCUGGCACACUUACUCUUCCAGCUGGUGCAGACCUUCCUCAGCCAAAUACGCCAGUGCCAGGUGGUCCCAUCGGUUUGCGUAGAUACAGAAAGGACAGAAAACUAGUGCAGUGACGAUGAUUUCUAAGCAGCUGUAUAAAGAGGCAGAAGCCAGGUAAACUUUUGGUAGAGAACGAAAGUGAUGUAGAAUCCCGU